UACGUAGGUGGCAAGCGCUGUCCGGAUUUACUGGGCGUAAAGAGCGCGCAGGCGGCUCGGUAAGUCUGCUGUGAAAUCUCCCGGCUUAACUGGGAGGGGUCAGCAGAUACUGUCGGGCUUGAGGCAGGUAGAGGAAGGUGGAAUUCCCGGUGUAGUGGUGAAAUGCGUAGAUAUCGGGAGGAACACCAGUGGCGAAGGCGGCCUUCUGGGCCUGUCCUGACGCUGAGGCGCGAAAGCGUGGGGAGCGAACCGG
rnacentral:rRNA from 1 species